UUGAUUUCUAAACUGAUCUCCUUUUUAAAAUAGCAAACAGCAGUUUUUACCCAGAAAAAUAUUUGGAAAAAAAUUCAUUUGAGUCGGUAAACGUUGUCCGAUUGGUCUGAAAUUUUAUAUGCAUAUUUGUGGAACUAUGAUAUAUUAUUAAAAAAUAUUUCCCGCAAAAAAAUCAGUAGAAAAAGUCAAAAAAUUUGAAAAAUACGAAAUCAAGAAAAAAAUUAAAAAAAUAUUCAGCGGGUUGAUUUUAGUGCCGAAACUUUACAGAUCAAAAAUUAAAUAUUUUAGGAAAUUUCAGUUUAAAUUUUGUGAUUUUUGGAGAUCGGGAACACCUC
rnacentral:lncRNA from 1 species